rnacentral:rRNA from 1 species
UGGCGGCAGGCCUAACACAUGCAAGUCGAGCGCUUCACUUCGGUGAGGAGCGGCGGACGGGUUAGUAACGCGUGGGAACAUACCCUUCUCUAAGGAAUAGCCACUGGAAACGGUGAGUAAUACCUUAUACGCCCUUCGGGGGAAAGAUUUAUCGGAGAAGGAUUGGCCCGCGUUAGAUUAGAUAGUUGGUGGGGUAAUGGCCUACCAAGUCUACGAUCUAUAGCUGGGGUGAGAGGAUGAUCAGCAACACUGGGACUGAGACACGGCCCAGACUCCUACGGGAGGCAGCAGUGGGGAAUCUUAGACAAUUUGCGCAAGCCUGAUCUAGCCUUGCCGCGUGAGUGAUGAAGCCCCUAGGGUCGUAAAGCUCUUUCGCCAGAGAUGAUAAUGACAGUAUCUGGUAAAGAAACCCCGGCUAACUCCGUGCCAGCAGCCGCGGUAAUAC